ACUUUAUGAAUAGAGUCUCAGGAAGGGUAAGUGGCUUGUUCAAGUUCUCAUGGCCAAGAAGGUGGGAAGCUGAGAUUUUAACCAAGAUGUCUCUGUGACUUUAAUAAAUUAAGGGGAGAGAUAGAGAAUGAGGAUGAUAUUAUUGUUAGUAUAAGUUCUUGCACUGAAUGAUGUCAGCAAGUUGAGGCAGAGCAUUGGUGAGAAUGAGACUGGGCUGAAUCUGGAUGAGUAGAGAUCCUGCCUUGUUGCCAACUCUAGGAAUGACCUGGUCCUGUAAAACCUCUAUCUAUUGAUCAUGGAUUUUCACUGGCCAUGUGAACACCAGACCUACAUUACAUUUGCCUCAUGAAAGGUGUUCAGAAACACACUCUUUAAAUCUGGAGAUCAUAAUAGAAGAGACUCCCAGCACCACAAUUGAACAACACAGGUUUGUUUCAUUUUAGAAUGUCAGCAUGUAGAUGUCUUCUCAUCCUGCAAAGGCAGGUAUUUCAGUAGAUGUGCUAAUAGCAUCUGCAAUCCAGCACAGCCAUGUGUCUUCAAUGAAGAAAAUGUGGGUGUUUACUUGACAGAGUUUCUCAGCUCUACAACAGGGUGAUAUUGGUUCCUCCCUAAUCUGUAUCCAAUUUUACAACUGAACUUUUACCUUGAAAAGCCUAGCGUGGGAAAAUAAAGAGAACUAUAAAAACAGUCAUGAAUAAAAGCCAGUAGCACAUUUCUAAGGCAUAGGUGCCUGCAUGUGCAAUGUAAUCACAUGAACUUGUCUUUAAAAUUGUGUUGUUAAAAAAUUGCGUAAGAGGUAACAAGAGGUAACAGAGCAGAAAUAGUGAGAGGACAGUUGUGUAAUUAGUGAACAAAUCUCUUUUCUUGGAGGGGAUAUACUGUCUCUAUUACAUAACUCUGCCGAAGUCUCUAUAAGGGUGAUGAAGACAGUAGGGUAUGGUGGAAGGAAAAGUAGCUUGGGAACCAGGCUAUUUUUUUUAAUAUUCUUAAGCUCUUAGGCUAUUUGGCAUUGGGUUUUUAUUACAUACAACUGUCGUUGUGGCUAUGAUAGUGGGUGUGUAGGGUAGAGGAGGGGGAAAAUAAAUUGACUACAUUCAUUUUAGCUAGAAAAAGAAAUCCAAAUUCUGAUGCCCUGGAAUAGAUUAUAUCAAUCUUUUAAAUAAUUCUAAUUGUAUACUUUUAGGCCUAUUGUCCAUACGUGAACCUGUCCUGAGGUCAGGGUAAUAGAGUCCUAAAGCUGGCUGAAUUAUUUGUUCACUCUGGUAUCCAGGAUAAGGGAGUGGUCAGUGUUGGCGAUUCACAAUGAUUUGCUUCCCCAUUGGAAAGAUGGGCUUUGUUUUCAGAAGAAGUGAGUACUGGACAGAGAAGGACAAGAGAUGUCCAGCAUAUCUUUGAAACCCUAUCAGCCUUGAUAGGCAAUCUUCCCUAAAGGUACACAGCUCUGAACAUGCCAAUACUCUAUUUAAAAAUCAGUAAGGUAGAGUGGAAGGCAUAGCUGAGUGAAACUGAAACCCUCUUUGUGCUGGAGGUUUCUUUCUGGAAAGCUGACAGCACACCUCCGCCCCUGUCCAAAAGGCCUGAUGUGAAAUAUUGCAACAAAGUCAAAAUCAACUGGCAGGUACUUCAAUAGAUGUGCUGAUAGCAUGCAACUAUGGGAAGGUGCCAGAACUGAACCGAGGUGGUGAAUUGAGGUAGAGAUAAGCAAGUACCGAGACAAAGGAGGCAAGAGAAACUCCAAAACCAGGGUGAUUCAAAGGAAGGAAACAGGGUUUGAAGCUAAUGGUCAUUGCCUGGCUUGAGUCAUUUUUAAAGGGAGAGGAAGGGAGAGGUAUGUCUCUACCCACUGGUACUGUGGUGUGCCUGUACUGUAAUUGGACAUUCAAGCAGACCUAUUUAUUUGUUCACUAAGCAAAUAUUUGUUGAGUACUUACUACGUGCUAAAUACUGGGUAUCAGAAAUAAUUGCAUAUAUGAGCCUUGAAGAGUGAUUAUGGUUGACAUGUAUGAACAUGGGUGAAAGGGAAGAGAUGUUUUUUGAACUUUGUAUUUUCCAACACAUCCAGCUGUGUACCUGCUGCACAGCAGGUGCUAAAAAUAGAUUUACUGAAUUAAAAAGCAAUUCAUGCCACUAAAGGGUGUUCCAUGGUCUCACAGAAAUUGGGAAGGAGUAAGUAGCAUCUUUAGUAAAUAAACAAUAUGCUCCUAGCCAAAAAUAUACAACUUUGGGUUUGUUA